AUGAGUAACACCACCCUAUCUAUCUGUUCGUGGAAUGUACGAGGUCUUGGUGAUGUGUCAAAAUGCGCUGAUAUCCUCUCCGAACUUAUCAGCAUUAACCCACACUGCGCCCUCCUACAGGAAUCAAAGCUAAAUGACAUUACUGAACAAAAAUUACGAUCCUUCCUACCUCGCUCUCUAGACCAAAAUGUGUUUUUACCGGCCGACGGCUCGGCUGGUGGAACAGUCUCAGCUUUCAACUCAAACUACUUCUCAGUGCUCUCCCACACGCACAACAACUUCACCACAUCGAUCAAACUCACGUCCCUUGCGCACCCACAACCCUUUAUCAUCACAAACGUCUAUGCUCCCGCAACUCGCAACCUCAAACAAGCUUUUCUCGAUGAACUCAGAACGAUAAAACAAGACGAUCACACGCCCUGGCUAAUAGUAGGAGACUUCAACCUUGUACGUUUUUCGCAUGAAAAAAAUAACCACAACUUUCGCCAACGAGAAGCAGAUGCUUUUAACAGCAUGAUCAAUGAGCUAGCCCUACUCGAACUCGCACUGCUCGACCGACGCUUCACUUGGUCUAACAAACGCUCUGUGCCAACCUUAGAACGACUUGACCGGGCGUUCUUUAAUCUGUCAUGGAAUAAUUACUUCCCUAACACAACACUGUCCUCACUGCCACGUAUCACAUCCGAUCACGUACCCCUAAUCCUA
rnacentral:rRNA from 1 species